AGUGAACGCUGGCGGUAGGCCUAACACAUGCAAGUCGAACGGCAGCACAGUAAGAGCUUGCUCUUACGGGUGGCGAGUGGCGGACGGGUGAGGAAUACAUCGGAAUCUACUUUUUCGUGGGGGAUAACGUAGGGAAACUUACGCUAAUACCGCAUACGACCUACGGGUGAAAGCAGGGGAUCUUCGGACCUUGCGCGAUUGAAUGAGCCGAUGUCGGAUUAGCUAGUUGGCGGGGUAAAGGCCCACCAAGGCGACGAUCCGUAGCUGGUCUGAGAGGAUGAUCGGCCACACUGGAACUGAGACACGGUCCAGACUCCUACGGGAGGGAGCAGUGGGGAAUAUUGGACAAUGGGCGCAAGCCUGAUCCAGCCAUACCGCGUGGGUGAAGAAGGCCUUCGGGGUGUAAAGACCUUUUGUUGGGAAAGAAAAGCAGCAGGUUAAGACCCCGCUGUUCUGACGGUACCCAAUGAAUAAGCACCGGCUAACUUCGUG
rnacentral:rRNA from 1 species